rnacentral:rRNA from 1 species
UACGAAGGGUGCAAACGUUGCUCGGAAUUAUUGGGCGUAAAGCGCACGUAGGCGGCUUGUCAAGUCGGAUGUGAAAUCCCUCGGCUCAACCAAGGAAGUGCAUCCGAAACUGGCGAGCUUGAGUACUUAAGAGGAUCGCGGAAUUCCCGGUGUAGAGGUGAAAUUCGUAGAUAUCGGGAGGAACACCAGUGGCGAAGGCGGCGAUCUGGGAAGAUACUGACGCUGAGGUGCGAAAGCGUGGGGAGCAAACAGG